rnacentral:rRNA from 1 species
CUACGGGUGGCUGCAGUGGGGAAUAUUGCACAAUGGGCGCAAGCCUGAUGCAGCCAUGCCGCGUGUAUGAAGAAGGCCUUCGGGUUGUAAAGUACUUUCAGCGGGGAGGAAGGGAGUAAAGUUAAUACCUUUGCUCAUUGACGUUACCCGCAGAAGAAGCACCGGCUAACUCCGUGCCAGCAGCCGCGGUAAUACGGAGGUGUGCAAGCGUUAAUCGGAAUUACUGGGCGUAAAGCGCACGCAGGCGGUUUGUUAAGUCAGUGUGAAAUCCCCGGGCUCAACCUGGGAACUGCAUCUGAUACUGGCAAGCUGGAGUCUCGUAGAGGGGGGUAGAAUUCCAGGUGUAGCGGUGAAAUGCGUAGAGAUCUGGAGGAAUACCGGUGGCGAAGGCGGCCCCCUGGACGAAGACUGACGCUCAGGUGCGAAAGCGUGGGGAGCAAACAGGAUUAGAUACCCCCGUAGUC